GUUGAGAAUCCUUCACACCUGAAAGUAGAGAUCAAAUGAAAUGUCAUUGGGAUUUCAACUUCAAAGCAAGAACUUGUUGGGUUUCAACAGUGACAUUUUCGAGUUCAUCCCUGAAAUAUAUUUAAUAAUAGAUGGAAUUAACAAUUUGUAUGAUGGCUUAUACUUCCAGAACAUAUCAUCAUCGUUGAGACAAAGAAGACUCUGAAAGGACAUGGGCAUUUCUCAGAGCCAUCUAUAUUAUAUGUUCUGCUUUCAUAUUUUCUAUCUUUUUCUCUUCCCAUUUGGUAUUUGAUUUGUCAAUGCCCAUACACAAAUUCCAUAAAUGGUACAUUAAACCCGAGUUGAUUUCGCUUAAACCAAUUGUGAAGGAAGUUGAAAAAGCAGCAGCUACAUGAGUAACAACAAAAAGAAAGAAGUGAAAUAAUGAAAUUCCUCUCAAAAUGCACUAGAAGUUUUAUGGAGGAAACGGAGAAAGAC
rnacentral:misc_RNA from 1 species